GGAAAGUGUUUGGAAUGCAUUGCUUUGGCUUACCAUCACAGUGGUCCAGAUCUGCGGUGGGGAGCUUGCUGUGCAGAAUGAUAAUGCCUGUGUGGACCACGCCAGAGGCUACAGAGGGACUAGAAUGAGACGGCUAUUAUGAAACUCCUACGAAAAUUAAAAAAGCGCCAUAAAAUGCCAGGGCCUCUAGCUCUGAAAUCAACAUCCGGGGUUAUCCUGCCUAGAAGUGCCUUGUGUUCUCUGAAGAUAUUGCUCCCCUUGACUCUGGACUGGUUGGUUGGACAGUGCCAAUAAGAACAACAGAUUGUGGCUAAAUUACCAGGAGGAACAGUUAAGGAGGGAAAGCAGAGAUCUAAAAAGUGUG
rnacentral:lncRNA from 1 species